rfam:Schistosoma haematobium scaffold131_6, whole genome shotgun sequence.
AUCCAACUGACGAGUCCCCGAUAGGACGAAACGAGCGUGUUGGAU